GUGACAGAAGAGAGUGAGCACACAUGGUACUUUCUUGCUUGAUGAUGUUUCAUGCUUGAAACUAUGUGUGCUUACUCUCUAUCUGUCAC
rfam:Lupinus angustifolius cultivar Tanjil chromosome LG10, whole genome shotgun sequence.